rnacentral:rRNA from 1 species
ACAUGCAAGUCGAACGAAGGCCCGGGGCUUGCUCCGGAUACCUUAGUGGCGAACGGGUGAGUAACGCGUGGGAAUCUACCUAGAAGUGGGGAAUAACUAUUGGAAACGAUAGCUAAUACCGCAUAAUCCCUUCGGGGCAAAGGCUUUUGUCGCUUUUGGAUGAGCCCGCGUUAGAUUAGGCUGUUGGUGAGGUAAUGGCUCACCAAACCUACAAUCUAUAGCUGGUCUGAGAGGAUGAUCAGCCACACUGGGACUGAGACACGGCCCAGACUCCUACGGGAGGCAGCAGUGGGGAAUAUUGGACAAUGGGGGAAACCCUGAUCCAGCAAUGCCGCGUGAGUGAUGAAGGCCUUAGGGUUGUAAAACUCUUUCAGAAGUGAAGAUGAUGACGGUAACUUCAGAAGAAGCUCCGGCUAACUCCGUGCCAGCAGCCGCGGUAAUACGGAGGGAGCUAGCGUUGUUCGGAAUUACUGGGCGUAAAGAGCGUGUAGGCUGUUAGGUAAGUCAGAGGUGAAAUCCCUAAGCUCAACUUAGGAACUGCCUUUGAUACUAUUUUACUAGAGAACGAGAGAAGUUGGCGGAAUUCCAAGUGUAGAGGUGAAAUUCGUAGAUAUUUGGAAGAACACCAGUGGCGAAAGCGGCCAACUGGCUCGUUUCUGACGCUGAGACGCGAAAGCGUGGGUAGCAAACAGGAUUAGAUACCCUGGUAGUCCACGCCGUAAACGAUGAGUGCUAGCCGUUUGUGAUUUAUCACAAGUGGUGCAGCUAACGCGUUAAGCACUCCGCCUGGGGAGUACGAUC